rnacentral:rRNA from 1 species
AAUAGAUACCCCAGGUAGUCCACGCCGUAAACGAUGAGUGCUAAGUGUUAGGGGGGUUUCCGCCCCUUAGUGCUGCAGCUAACGCAUUAAGCACUCCGCCUGGGGAGUACGGUCGCAAGACUGAAACUCAAAGGAAUUGACGGGGGCCCGCACAAGCGGUGGAGCAUGUGGUUUAAUUCGAAGCAACGCGAAGAACCUUACCAGGUCUUGACAUCCCAUUGACCACUAUGGAGACAUAGUUUUCCCUUCGGGGACAACGGUGACAGGUGGUGCAUGGUUGUCGUCAGCUCGUGUCGUGAGAUGUUGGGUUAAGUCCCGCAACGAGCGCAACCCUUGUUCUUAGUUGCCAUCAUUUAGUUGGGCACUCUAAGGAGACUGCCGGUGACAAACCGGGAGGAAGGUGGGGAUGACGUCAAAUCAUCAUGCCCCUUAUGACCUGGGCUACACACGUGCUACAAUGGACGGUACAAACGGUUGCCAACCCGCGAGGGGAGCUAAUCCGAUAAAACCGUUCUCAGUUCGGAUUGUAGGCUGCAACUCGCCUACAUGAACG